rnacentral:lncRNA from 1 species
AAGACCAGUUAAUGGCAAAACAAAAAGGGUCAAAUGGAAGAGUAUACCUUGGAUGUUAACCGACAUAUUUUCAAAUCGUCCAUGACAUCUCAUCAUGCUACCAUUCACAACCUUGACUGAAAAGGCUUGGGUCGAGAGUAUUGGUAAGUUCAGCAAACUCGCAACUCGUUCACUGAUGAAGUUGUGAGUCGAGCCGCUGUCGAUGAAGAUGACGAUGCGUUGAUUGUGGAUAGUUGCAACAACACGCAUUGUUUUUGUGGCGGACCAACCAGUGAAAGCAUGAAGGGAAAUUUCGGGCUCCUUUUCUCUCAGUUCUUUUUCUUCUUUUUCAGUCCCUUGCAAGAGCAGAACUUAAGCUCGGCAGCAGCAGUGGCCUGUGGUAAAUUUUUCGUCGCAGUUGAAGCAUAAGCCCUGCGUUCGAUGGUGCUGCUUCUCUUCCCAUGAGAGGUGCUUCGGGGCUGAAUCUACAGCUAGGGUUGGGGGCGGGCUGAUCGGGUUAUGUCCGACCCGAU